GGUUUUUGUUGUUUGAUCGGAGCAGCGGCUGCAGUGUUGCGUCCCGUCAGGCUCUACUUUGUUGAACACUAAGCUGGACACAUAUCUCUCCAGCGCUUCAGAGACGUCGCUGGCGCCGAAAUUCUAGCUGUUUCACCGUGGGUCGCCAGAAGAACAGCAGAUCAUUGACUGUCAAUUGUGCGACGCGACACUAUGUGGCACGAAGGAUGUGUACGUGUGAAAUACGUAACUACUGUGUGCGCGGGAUGUUUUGUAUGAUUGUGUCGACACUGGAUACCACUUUCAAG